GACAGAGGGUGCAAACGUUGUUCGGAAUUACUGGGCGUAAAGCGCGUGUAGGCUGCUCUGCAAGUCGGAUGUGAAAUCCCGGAGCUCAACUUCGGAAUUGCCUUUGAUACUGCCAAUCUCGAGUCCGGGAGAGGUGAGUGGAAUUCCUAGUGUAGAGGUGAAAUUCGUAGAUAUUACGGAAGAAACACCAGUGGCGAAGGCGACUCACUGGACCAGUGUA
rnacentral:rRNA from 1 species